rnacentral:lncRNA from 1 species
ACAGAGAUGAAAGAGAUCCCUAUGGGCUGAAGGCAUCAGGCUUAUUAGUUACAGAAGCAAUUUUUUUAGGCUUGUUUACAAAGGUGGAGGCUCCACAGCUCACACGCACAGACCCAGUUAUAAUGAGAAUCUGGUAUACAGAAAAGGACAAAUGGUUUUCAGAAGAAAACCUAAUAUGGGAAGCAUUAUAAGUGCCUUGGCAUUUUAACAUUGAAAACAAAAUCAAAAGAGGAAGACAGAAAGGGGAGAAAAAUAAAGGCAUUGAUAAUCUAAUAAUUAGCACAGAAAAGAGAACUGGCAUGGUUUAUUGCCCAUGGAUUUACCUCUAGCAUGGUUUACUGUCCAUGGAUUUAUCUCUAGCUUUUAAAAUUUAUUUUAAAACAUGUUUUAAAUGUAAGUUCUCAUUAGAUCUCUUAAGUGCCAAGACUUAUAAACUAAACUAGGACACAUAUCGUGGGGGAAUUAUUAAUAUUUUGAUUUUUUAGUUUUGCCAGUUAAGAUUGCUUAAGUUAGAAGGUCAUCAAGGAAAAUGUGAAAUGCUUUUAUGAUUCAACAUUGUUAUUUUCAAGAUUCUUUUUUUUUUUUUUUUU